GAUAAACGCUGGCGGCGCACAUAAGACAUGCAAGUCGAACGGACUUAAUCGAAAUAUUUAUAUUUUGAAGCGGCUAGUGGCGGACUGGUGAGUAACGCGUAAGGAACCUACCUAUUAGAGGGGAAUAACAGUGAGAAAUCAUUGCUAAUACCGCAUAUGCCAUAGAUAUCACAUGAUAACAGUGGGAAAGGAGCAAUCCGCUAAUAGAUGGCCUUGCGUCUGAUUAGAUAGUUGGUGGGGUAACAGCCUACCAAGUCGACGAUCAGUAGCCGGACUGAGAGGUUGAACGGCCACAUUGGGACUGAGAUACGGCCCAG
rnacentral:rRNA from 1 species